UUCCCGACAUUUCUCCUUCGGGGUCUUCCAAGGAUCGGAAGGUGGCGGAGCCCCUGGCUGGGGAAACCCGCGACAGCUCAGGGCUCAAUCUGUCGGGCCUUUGGUGGCUCAUCUACAUCCCACUGGACCCUUAUUUCCACGCGGAAAAGUAGAGAUGUUUGGCCACCAGCAGCUGUCCGAAGGAAAGGGGAAUCCAAGGUUCCCGCAGACGGGCCAUCCACGGAAGAUUGUGUAGGGCCCUCUCGGAUCUGGAGAGGGCUGGUUGUUCUGGUGAAGACAAACCGGACGCCCAGAACCUGGCGGCGCCGGGUCUCCCCGGGACGAGGACGCCCCGCGGAGAACCCAAGUAUUGGGACCAAUUUCCUAUGAACGCAGAAUAUUUUCUCCUCCUCUGGGACACUUUUUGAAGCCUCUAAGCACAUUAUUUGCCAGGACCCUUUGGAUUCUCACAAUCUUCCUAACUCUGUCUAUAACCAAGACUUGCUGGACCUGCUCCAUUAGGGAAACUUGUGUUUUACAAGCUGUAGAAGAUAACUACAAUAACUAGGGUUUUCUUUUUCCUUUUCUUUUCUUUUUAGAGAAAAUUUCAAACUUAAAACACUUAGUAUUUAUGGGCAAUUGAUUUUUCUUUUAUUACCCAUUUAACCAUGGCUUUUCUUUGACGCUCAUCCAGAGGGACUCUCAUCAUCCAUGGCUAGAUCAGAGAAGCCAAAAGGAAAGGUCUUCAUCAUCUCUAAUCUCCAUCUCUCACCUCCCUCCAAAGCAGUUUGCAAUAAAGAGAACUCACUCCCACAUCCUGAUCCCUGUUCUUCUUUGAUCUUCCCCAUCAUUUUCUUAUUAAAAACAACUGCUCUGUUGCCACCACCA